GAAAUGCGAUACUUGGUGUGAAUUGCAGAAUCCCGCGAAUCAUCGAGUUUUUGAACGCAAGUUGCGCCCGAAGCCAUUCGGCCGAGGGCACGUCUGCCUGGGUGUCACGCAUCGUUGCCCCCCCAAACCCCGGUUCGGGCGGGGCGGAAGUUGGCCUCCCGUGCGCGCCUGCGCGCGCGGUUAGCCCAAAAGCGAGUCCUCGGCGACGAGCGCCACGACAAUCGGUGGUUUUUCGACCCUCGUUCCACGUCGUGCGCGCCCCGUCGCCCGAACUCUUGCGACCCUUACGCGUUGCCUCGGCGACGCUCCCAACGCGACCCCAGGUCAGGCGGGACUACCCGCUGAGUUUAAGC
rnacentral:misc_RNA from 1 species